rnacentral:miRNA from 1 species
CGACCGCUAUCGGCACUG